CUACGGGCUGCUGCAGUGAGGAAUAUUGCACAAUGGGGGGAACCCUGAUGCAGCAACGCCGCGUGGAGGAUGACGCAUUUCGGUGUGUAAACUCCUUUUAUAUGUCAAGAAAAUGACGGUAGCAUAUGAAUAAGCGCCGGCUAACUCCGUGCCAGCAGCCGCGGUAAUACGGAGGGCGCAAGCGUUACUCGGAAUCACUGGGCGUAAAGGACGCGUAGGCGGGUUGAAAAGUCAGGUGUGAAAGCCUACAGCUUAACUGUAGAACUGCACUUGAAACUCUCAACCUAGAGUAUGGGAGGGGCAGAUGGAAUUAGUGGUGUAGGGGUAAAAUCCGUAGAUAUCACUAGGAAUACCUAAAGCGAAGGCGAUCUGCUGGAACAUUACUGACGCUAAGGCGUGAAAGCGUGGGGAGCAAACAGGAUUAGAUACCCCGGUAGUC
rnacentral:rRNA from 1 species